UACGGGGGGGCAAGCGUUGUUCGGAAUUACUGGGCGUAAAGAGCUCGUAGGUGGUUUGUCGCGUUGUUCGUGAAAACUCACAGCUCAACUGUGGGCGUGCGGGCGAUACGGGCAGACUGGAGUACUGCAGGGGAGACUGGAAUUCCUGGUGUAGCGGUGGAAUGCGCAGAUAUCAGGAGGAACACCGGUGGCGAAGGCGGGUCUCUGGGCAGUAACUGACGCUGAGGAGCGAAAGCGUGGGGAGCGAACAGG
rnacentral:rRNA from 1 species